UGAAUCUUUCAUUGUUGAGCCCUUGAC
rnacentral:piRNA from 1 species